rnacentral:lncRNA from 1 species
GUAACAAAUCAGAUGAAAUAUAGGGGGAGUCCCUUGGGUCACCCCACCCCUCCUGUUUGAGAAUUUAAAACCCGUUGAGAUCGCCACCCCUUAACCAUAUAUUCAUGUACGGGACAAUAUAACAAUUCAAAUGAAAGAUAGGGGGAGUCCCUGAGGUCACUGUACACCCUCUGGUUUGAGAACUUGGAAAUGGUCAAGAUCCUUACCCUAAACCAUAUAUACUCAUGUAUGGGACAAUAUAACAAAUCAAAUAAAAUAUAGGGGAAGUCUCUGUGGUCACCCCAACCCUUACGGUUGAGAUCCCCACACCAAAGUAAUAUAUAUUCAUGUAUGGGCCAAAUUAUAACUAAUUAAAUGAAAUAUAGGUGGAGUCCCUGGGGUCACUCUACCCCUCCUGUUUGAGAACUUGGAAACCAAUGAGAUCCCCAC